GCCAGUGUCUCCGCCGGUUGAAAGCGCGUGUCUGCGUCGGGUUCUGUUGGAGUGCGUUCGGUGCGCCGUGGGUCCGCGCUGCUUCCACCCAACUUCCUGUUAGGUUACAUUAGUUAUAAUAUACACUCUGGAGGUGACUUGACUUGUCAUUGUGAACAACUAUUGCUCUUGGACGACCCAGGACAUAGGCCAGCCAGUACGUACCCCAGUGUGUUGGAGAAUCGCACUCGGCUUCUUCCUCUGUGCUGAGUCAUGAAAGUUGCCGGAGCAGGUGCAGUUACACAACCUCCAGGUAUGAUCCUGUUUAAGGACUGGAUUUAGGAUAACUACUUAGAGGUUAAAAGUCACAAGGGUGUAUGGAUGAGGCUGGAGUGAUCUGGGACCAAAGACAUCUAGGCUUGGUAUCAAGGCUUCUGAUCAACAUGAGAUGACCGCCGUGUAGUAAACUGAUGAACCCCGACCCUGAUCAACGUCAGAUGAACGCCGUGUGGUAAACUGAUGAACCCGACCCUGAU
rnacentral:lncRNA from 1 species